AACGAACGCUGGCGGCAGGCUUAACACAUGCAAGUCGAACGCCCCGCACGGGGAGUGGCAGACGGGUGAGUAACGCGUGGGAACAUACCCUUUUCUACGGCAUAGCUCUGGGUAACUGGAAUUAAUACCGUAUACGCCCUACGGGCGAAAGAUUUAUCGGGGAAGGAUUGGCCCGCGUUGGAUUAGCUAGUUGGUGGGGUAAAGGCCUACCAAGGCGACGAUCCAUAGCUGGUCUGAGAGGAGGAUCAGCGACAUUGGGACUGAGACACGGACCAAACUCCGACGGGAGGCAGCAGAGGAGAAUAUUGGAGGAGGAGGGCAGGCCUAGUACAGCCGUGCGGGGGGAGUGAUGAAGGCGGUAGGAUUGUAAAGCUCUUUGAGCGAUGAAGAUAAUGACGGUAGUCGGAGAAGAAGCCCCGGCUAACUACGUG
rnacentral:rRNA from 1 species